ACCCCCGCCGAACCGUAGCUAACGCACUAAGUACCCCGCCUGGGAAGUACGGUCGCAAGACUAAAACUCAAAGGAGUUGACGGGGGCCCGCACAAGCGGUGGAUCAUGUGGUUUAAUUCGAAGCAACGCGAAGAACCUUACCUGGAUUUGACAUCUCCUGACAGUCCUAGAAAUAGGAUUUCUGUAGUAAUACAGCAGGAAGACAGGUGCUGCAUGGCUGUCGUCAGCCCGUGUGGUGACAUGUUGGGUUAAGUCCCGCAACGAGCGCAACCCCUGUCCUUAGUUGCCAGCAUUCAGUUGGGCACUCUAAGGAGACUGCCGUGGUGAACACGGAGGAAGGUGGGGAUGACGUCAAGUCCUCAUGGCCUUUAUAUCCAGGGCGACACACGUGGUACAAUGGACGGUACAAAGGGAAGCAAAGGGGAAACCUGGAGCCAAUCUCAAAAAGCCGUUCUCAGUUCGGAUUGGAGUCUGCAACUCGACUCCAUGAAGUUGGAAUCGCUAGUAAUCGCGGAUCAGCACGCCGCGGUGAAUACGUUCCCGGGCCUUGUACACACCGCCCGUCACACCAUGGGAGCUGACUCAACCAGAAGACGAUCAGGCUAACCGAAAGGAGGCCUUCG
rnacentral:rRNA from 1 species